GGCAUAUAUUCAAGAUCAUUGAUGCUGUACUGUUAUUGACUUAUUAGCUGUUGUCUGCUUUCUUGAAAUUGACAUUGUUGUGAAUGUGUUUACUGUUAUUAUGAGAGAAAAAAUACCCUUAUUUUUUUAAUUUUUUUUUAAACUAACUGUAAUCUUAUUUAUUGGCCUGUUAAUGGAACCCUUCUUGCCCCCUUUUAAGAUAAGAAAAUAUGUUUACGAUUUUCGGGAUAACGAUCAUUUUGCAAGAUCACCAAAAUACGUUGUGAUUUAUACAAUACUUAUAUAAAGUAGAUGAUGUGGUAUGUUUGUUGUCAAUGGACAAAUUUCCAUAAGAAACCAAAGGAAGUAUGUGUUAACAACCAUACGUCAUCGUACGACCUUCAACAAUAACCCAUAAAAUAAAAAUGUAAAAGGUUUUGCAUAAAAAUGGAG
rnacentral:lncRNA from 1 species